UGAGUUGGUUAUACAUUCUUGCA
rnacentral:miRNA from 10 species